GUUUACUUUCCAUAUGGUAUAAACCUUUCUAAAUACGUAGGAAGCUGAGAACAAUUAAGAUAGCAAUGCCCUCUAGCUUUGCUUGUUUACCACACGAAAAUGUAGUAGAUUUUGGAUAUUACUUGAUUUUUUUUUUCGUUAUCCGAUGUAUGUAUAAUUAGAGUGAAAGUUAAUGAAACAUAAAAACAUUCAUCAACUACUCAUCUUCCUCCUGCUGACAAAUAUCUGUGAUGCUCUCACAUCUCCAUUAACAAGGUUGGUGAAAUUAAAUUGGUUGCAGACGUUCAGUUGCCCUCAUCAAGGAACAGAAAUAUUGUGAAAUCAUGUCUCCUUCUGCUACUGCUACUUCUUGCUGUAAGUACCUAAACAGCCCUGAUUCAUUUUCCUAUGUCUGUGGCAGUUUCACCAUUCCCAGUUAAACGUGAAAUAUCAGAGUAUUUGUGAAGCCAAGCUAUUUUGCAUAAUUUAAAGUAAAAGUUGUUGACCAAGACAAGUCUUGGUCCCCUCACAAGGUGUGUAAGCAGUGUGUAGAGUUUACGGAUGUGGACCAAAGAAGCACGUGAUGAGUUGGCAUUUGGUAUACUUAUGAUUUGGCGAGAACCAAAAUAUUGCACAGACUGAUACUUCAGGAUAUAACAAGAAAAACAAAUGUAAAAUCAAGUGUCCUAGUCUACCAUCAGCUAUACGUCCAGUGCCUCUUUCAGCUGAAAUCCCAGUGCUAGUUUUCGUUCAACUACCUUCUCUCGAAGAUGCGGAUCAUGAUGAAGAACCCAAUGACAGCAACGAUACAGAUUUUGAAAUUGAUGAUGACUCAUCUCGUAAGGUAUUCGAUCAGCACGAGUUGAAUGAUAGGGGCACGAGAUCUGAGAUGAUCAAAAAUAGGCUUUAGAACUCCUAGCAUCAAAACUAAAUGAGAAAACCUUGGUUGAAAAAGGAGCGAAGGCAUCCUAAUUUCGAUCCAGAGAAAAUUCUGCCACAGCAUACAGAAUUUACUGGAGGGUUGAGAAUUUCGAUCUGCAACUCAAUUGAAUAGCGACUGUUCAUCGAUAGCUCAAAGAGAAGCUUAAAGUAUAUCCUCCUCCACAAUGGCAAUUUAUAUAGUGCAAUCCAAAUUGGACAUUCAGUUUGUCAUCGUGAAGAAUAUAUCGACAUAAAGAGAAUCGUUGAUUAGUUACAAUAUCACAAAAUCAAUUGGAUCACCUGUGUUGACCUUAAAAUGGUGUGCUUCCUUCUUGAUCAGUAACACAGAUACAUCAAGUAUCCUUGCUUUCUGUGCAUGCGGGUGGAGAGGAAUUGGCCUCCAAGAUCUUACUUCAAACCUGGUGAUCCCAAUAUUCUACAUGAGCCACUUGUUGACAUGAAGAAAAUCAUAUUCCCACCUCUACGCAUGAAGGUCAUGGAAGAACAGUAUUAGGGUAGAUGGGAUGUAAAUAUAAUGGCUGACUAUUGUUGGAACAUAAAGUGAAAUUGCGCACAGAUUGAACAAUCCAGGAAAAGCUUAAGCGUAAAUUUUUACCUUAGCUACUUGCACACAAUUCCCCUCACAAAGUAAUAUCCUUUUGUGAACGAAAUAGAUUUGUAUAAACUUUACAGUCAAGCAAUGUUUUAUUAUAUUACAUUGUGUGUAAAUUUUAAAAACAUUCUAGAAAAUAAGCACAAAUUUGUUAGAUGCGGUAUUUUUAUGGUUUUUGAGACAAAGUGAGGGUACCCUAUAGCUCAAAAAGCUGGUGUGAUACAGAAAAACCGGGGUCAGUUUUAAAUUUAGAGGCCAAAACUUAGUCAAAAACAACUGUCAGAUCUAACUCAACAAAAAUUGUGUUCCCCAAUAUCAUUUAAACAUAAUAAGCGUGCACUUCAUUUGAGAACAGAUUAAGGACUAUGGUGAAACAAAUGUGGCCAUUUUGAAUAGUAAAUAUAUAUAUAAAACAUUAUCAGCAAAUAUAAAACAAUCAACCUGUAAACUUUCAUUAACCCAAACCUACAACUUUUUAUUUUAUGAUAAAAAUAAAUAAUGGAUAAACAUAU